rnacentral:tRNA from 1 species
GGGCCGGUCGUCUAGUCUGGUUAGGAUGCCACCCUUACGAGGUGGCGGUCGCCGGUUCAAGUCCGGCCCGGCCCA